CACAUGCAAGUCGAGCGGUAAGGCCCUUCGGGGUACACGAGCGGCGAACGGGUGAGUAACACGUGGGUAACCUGCCCUGUACUCUGGGAUAAGCCUUGGAAACGAGGUCUAAUACCGGAUACGACCAUGAGAUGCAUGUCUUGUGGUGGAAAGUUCAGGCGGUAUGGGAUGGACCCGCGGCCUAUCAGCUUGUUGGUGGGGUAAUGGCCUACCAAGGCGACGACGGGUAGCCGGCCUGAGAGGGUGACCGGCCACACUGGGACUGAGACACGGCCCAGACUCCUACGGGAGGCAGCAGUGGGGAAUAUUGCACAAUGGGCGAAAGCCUGAUGCAGCGACGCCGCGUGAGGGAUGACGGCCUUCGGGUUGUAAACCUCUUUCAGCAGGGACGAAGCGCAAGUGACGGUACCUGCAGAAGAAGCACCGGCUAACUACGUGCCAGC
rnacentral:rRNA from 1 species